UACGUAGGGGGCAAGCGUUGUCCGGAUUUAUUGGGCGUAAAGGGUGCGUAGGCGGCGCGGUAAGUCGGGUGUGAAAUCUCGGAGCUUAACUCCGAAACUGCAUUCGAUACUGCCGUGCUUGAGGACUGGAGAGGAGACUGGAAUUUACGGUGUAGCGGUGAAGUGCGUAGAUAUCGUAAGGAAGACCAGUGGCGAAGGCGGGUCUCUGGACAGUUCCUGACACUGAGACACGAAGGCCAGGGGAGCAAACGGG
rnacentral:rRNA from 1 species